GGGCCGUCAAGGAGAUCCCGGGCAUCAGGGAACAGAUGGGCCAUGUGGUCCUCCAGGACUUCAGGGGGUCAGUGGGGUCAUUGGAAAACCAGGACCCCGUGGAAGUAUAGGACCCCCAGGGAACCCCGGGCCAAACGGGCCCCCAGGUAUUCCAGGUCCGCAGGGGGCAAAUGGACUGCCAGGUAUAGAUGGGGAGAAAGGAGAAAAGGUGAUUGA